rnacentral:rRNA from 1 species
UACGGAGGGUGCGAGCGUUGUCCGGAAUCACUGGGCGUAAAGGGCGCGUAGGUGGCUCGUGAAGCGUGCGGUGAAAGUCCGAGGCUCAACCUCGGAUCGGCCGUGCGGACUCGCGGGCUCGAGCGUUGUAGAGGCGGGUGGAAUUCCGGGUGUAGCGGUGGAAUGCGUAGAUACUGGGAGGAACACCGGUGGCGAAGGCGGCUACCUGGACCGGUUCUGACGCUGAUGCGCGAAAGCGUGGGUAGCAAACAGG